AAGAAAUCACCCAUAAAGGACAAAAGCAGGCACAUGACUGCUUUGACAUAGAGUUAAGAAGAGAUGCCAUCAUCACAGUUAUCCAAGUAAUCUACAAUGUAUUUAACCAAGUAUAGAUAGAUCUUUAAUUAUUUUAAUAUCUAGCCCAGCAUUUUCAGGACUCAGUUAUUUAGAAUCAUUUAUUUGGGAUGUGCAGUGAUUCUUUUUGAGGUAAGUAGGGGAAGUUAGGAAGAUAUUUGUCAAGUAUUUGAAAACUAAAUUUUCAAAAAACUUUGAACUAGAAUAUUUUAAGUGACUACAUUACAGUUUUAGUAUGAGCCUACCCUUGGGAAAAAGUAAUGUGAUACUAAAUUAGAAAAAAAAAAAUGUGACACUAAUAUGGUAGUGUGCCAUGGAGACUAGAUACUAAAAGGUCCAGUAAUUAUAAGCAUAAAAGAAGUGAACUCUGUUUAAAAUUUUUCAGCAUAUGUGUGUGUCUCUACACAUACAUAUAUAUAGUUGUUUAGAAGUGGAACAUGGUAUGAAAACUCUAUUGAUUUGUCUGUGUAAUAAAUGGUGUGUUUUGAAACUU
rnacentral:lncRNA from 1 species